rnacentral:rRNA from 1 species
CUAGAUUGAACGCUGGCGGCGAUGCUUUACUACAUGCAAGUCGAACGGCGAGCACGGGGCUUCGGCCUGGUGGCGAGUGGCGAACGGGUGGAGUAAUAUAAUCGGAACGUAACCCAGAAGUAGGGGGAGUAACGUAAGCGAAAGUUACGCUAAUACCGCAUACGAUCUACGGAUGAAAUGGGGGAUCGCAAGACCUCAUGCUUUUGGAGCGGCCGAUAUCUGAUUAGCUAGUAGGUAGGGUAAAGGCCUACCUAGGCGACGAUCAGUAGCUGGUCUGAGAGGACGACCAGCCACACUGGAACUGAGACACGGUCCAGACUCCUACGGGAGGCAGCAGUGGGGAAUUUUGGACAAUGGGCGCAAGCCUGAUCCAGCAAUGCCGCGUGAGUGAAGAAGGCCUUCGGGUUGUAAAGCUCUUUUGUCAGGGAAGAAACGGGCUUGGCUAAUAUCCGAGCUUAAUGACGGUACCUGAAGAAUAAGCACCGGCUAACUACGUG